GAGUCUCCAGAGGCACUGCCGAAUGUCUAAGAAGCAACCUCAUUGUAUUCCCAAGACCUGGGAAUCCAGGUCUCGCAGAUACGAUGAUACAAUCUAUAGCCAGGACAUCUCUUCAUGUGUAGUUUUCAAUGAAUACUAGGAUAAGCAACUAUCCCAGUCUUCCCAGGAUUGAGGGGCUUCUCCAGAUGCUGCACUUCUGGUGCUAAAAAUGAGAAACUGAAAUGAAUUAGUCACCCAAGGAAUGCUGACCCUGUGCUAUAUGAUCACAUUUACUCUUUAAAGCAAUGCUUUGAGGCCAAGCUAUAAAUAAAGGGUGGACUGACCUUGUCAACUGUUAAAUUGGAGCCGUGGUGCGUUGCCUAGAACAUUGCGGAUGACCCCGAGCAGCACAGCAGAUCAACGGCUGAGAAAGAGCUCAUUCAGCUCAUCUAACUAGGAUGCUGUCCUGCCAGAGCCCUGGGGGUUCUCGUCUCCUGGGGCAAAAGCAGCAUGCAACCCUUAUGAACCCAUCUUGGAAGGCAUUCGGGGAGCCCAAGACAAGACCAUUGGGAGCCUCAGGGUCACUUGUGGGGGUCUCUG
rnacentral:lncRNA from 10 species